rnacentral:tRNA from 1 species
GGGCGGUUAGCUCAGUUGGUAGAGCGUCUCGUUUACACCGAGAGGGUCGGCGGUUCGAGUCCGUCAUCGCCCACCA